GACGAAGGAUGCAAGCGUUAUCCGGAUUCAUUGGGUUUAAAGGGAGCGUAGGUGGACUUAUAAGUCAGUGGUGAAAUCUUCGAGCUUAACUCGGAAACUGCCAUUGAUACUGUAGGUCUAGAGUACAGUUGCCGUUGGCGGAAUAUGACAUGUAGUGGUGAAAUACUUAGAUAUGUCAUAGAACACCGAUUGCGAAGGCAGCUAACGAAGCUGUAACUGACACUGAGGCUCGAAAGUGCGGGGAUCAAACAGG
rnacentral:rRNA from 1 species